rnacentral:rRNA from 1 species
UACAGAGGUCUCAAGCGUUGUUCGGAUUCAUUGGGCGUAAAGGGUGUGUAGGUGGCGCGCUAAGUCGGGUGUGAAAUUUCGGAGCUUAACUCCGAAACUGCAUUCGAUACUGGCGUGCUUGAGGACUGGAGAGGAGACUGGAAUUCAUGGUGUAGCAGUGAAAUGCGUAGAUAUCAUGAGGAAUACCAGAGGCGAAGGCGGCUACCUGGACAAUUGCUGACGCUCAGGCACGAAAGCGUGGGGAGCAAAAGGG